rnacentral:sRNA from 1 species
CCCAAAUUCCAAUAGCGAAGUCUUUCGAAGCGUUUCUCCUCUCACGGGGCAAAAAUCAAAUUCGUCUUUAAUCAUACAGCUUGGCUGUUGAUAGCAUGGUGUGGCGGUGUGUGGUUUUGGAUCAAUGGAAACCUUGUGGAUUCCAUGCUCUGCGUAUAUUCGAAUGAAAACAGCUCUUUUUUCCGAAACUGCAACGAUGCGAAGGAUCUCACCAUUGACGUGUUCGUUACAUUAAGUCGGCGUCGUUCCUGUUUUGCCAGCGGACUCGUGCCACAGGAGCCCGAAAACCUAUUGGGAAUGUCGGACAUUAGCUAUUUCUGAUGACACUAAGCAAAAUAAUCAGUUGUGGCGAUCUACCUGGCCAGCUUUGACGUAUCUCUUCGGAUUCUCGCUCACGCAAUAGCCUUUGAGUUGUUAGCACUUGGACCUUUCAUCAUAAUUAGCUUCAAUUCUAUUACCUAUUCCCAUCCAACCUCUGCGAAAUAUCAGUCGGUCCAAUUUGUCGUGCAGGGUCAAGCUCUAAAUCUAUGAAUCUGGUUUAGUUGUGUUCGAACCGCUGUCUAGCCAACUCUCCCAAGAAUGUGUGGGGUUAUUGUUGCACACCUUCAGUGGAGGCCUGGUAGGAAGCUGCAGCUCCGCUCGGUGGAUCCAAAGGAGCUCCAUAAUUCAUUUGAUCGCAGUGUUUCCCACUCCAAGCUGGUUGACUCACGUUAGGCUGAAGCGGAUAUGUGAGAUCCGAUGGAAUGUUAUUAUAACCUAAGAUAUUGCUGUUCUUGUAAUAUGGGCUC